CUGAGUGCCCCGGACAUCCGCCGGCUGCCUUUUCCCGGGGACCGGGUGUCGGCGGGGGCGGGAAUGCCCGGGAGCCAGGCCCGGGAGGCCCCGCGAUGCCCACCGUGCCCGCCAACUGCAGCCACGGGCCGGGGCGUCCAGUCCCGCUGUUGGGGGCCGCAAAAUGGAACAAGCCUCCAGUAUUCACACGAUUUCUUUCUUGCUUUGCUGGGGGACCCGAUGAGGGAGUCUCUUUGCUCUCGAGCCGGGAAAGGAGGGGAGAGGGGUGAGCGCAGGAAGUGGCCUCGCCUGGCCCCCAGGGUCGCGGCAAGCCCGAGGGUCCCCCCGAAAGCUGGGGCCUCCGAUGGAGCGAAGCAGGCUGAGCCCCCGGGCGGUGUGUGGGAAGAAGGGGGUCCCGGGGCUGGGCCGGGCAGCAGGGCCUGGCAGCGUCCUCCUUCCCCAGUAGCUGCCGCUCCCGUGUGUCCUCGAGUCUGCGGAGGCCACGCAAGGGGCGCUCGUUCCCUGGGGGCUGGUUUUCAUUUCCUGGGCCGACGCUGCCAGCUGUGCCCUCACGGACCAGCUGCCCGGCCUCCCACGGGACCUGCGUGCACCUGCAGGGAGCCCCCCGGAUGCCCGGGGAGGACUGGGCCCCGCAGCUGUGGCUGGAGGCGGGCGUGGGGCUGAGCGGUCUGGACGUGUCACAGGAGAGAUGUCCCUUCCUGGACACCUGUCCGGCGGCACCGUCCCCAGAGGCCUCCCUGAUCCUCCCGCUAGCUUGGCAGCCGGCCGGUUCCCACAGACCUAGCUGUGACGGGCCGGCCCUCUAGGCUGGGGAUGGAUGCACGCGCGGCUGUGGUUCAGGAGGGUUCAGGAAGGUCAGUGACCGGGCAGUGGGAUCGUGGAGCCGAGGGCAUGAGGAACAGUAGGGUGCCCGCCGUGUGGAGGGCGUGAUCCCAAUCCUUCAGGGGCCAAGCAGAGCCUCGCCUGAGCCACUUCCCUCCCCGCUGGUGCUUUUGGAAGUGCUGCACCUGAGACCCCUCUCACCCUGGGAUUCCUGAGAAGCCUCAGGCUGCAGGUGAACCUGCAUUCCCCCGCAGAAUCCUGCCCUAAACGCGAGGCGCCUUUCUUGUGGAGGAGGAGUAUAAUGUAGGAAGUCCUCCCGGCAUCCCCCCACUUUUCUCCCCAAGAGCAGGAGGCUGGGGUGGCUCCUCUCUGCUGGUGCCCUGCCUGCCGUCCCGUCCCAGCCCCUACAGUGGACCCCAGGUCCCUCUCACUGGAAGACACCCCGACCCAAAGAGAGAGCAAGGUAAAGGCACUAACGGUGCAGGGGUGUACCCGGCCUCGGCGUGGUGAGAUUUCCCCCUUGCACUAUGGAAAUGUUCACGUGUCUCCCCAGUCUGUCUCUCCUCCAUCCCGGCACAGCCCUAGGUUUGGGGUGACGAUGUCGAAGGUUUUAGGGUCACUCUACACCCCCAGAAUCAUCCUACAGUCCCCAUCCACUGAUCUGACCCCUCAGUCCACCCUCCCCGCCCUCCCUUGUGAACUGGACUCAACAGGUGGGGGGUUUAGGGGACAUCAUAGGACCCUGAUCCACCAUCCAUCGAUGGAAGACCCCAGCGAGGGCAGUGGAGUGGCAUGAGUGUGACCCCCGGUCGCCCCCAUGCCAUGAGGAUGAAAGUUCACAUCUGUGAGGAGCCGGCAGGUGGGAGUCAGAAGAAACCCUCACUCAGACCCCAGGAAACUCCUUCAGGAGCUGCGGGAGGCGUGAGGCCCCAGCUCCGGAGAUCAUGCCCUGAAACUCAGGAGUCCCCGCCCGGAAAAACCAGACAGAGGGCAAGGCGGGCCUGUCUGGCCGCAAAGAGGUCCGUACGUCGUCCUCACGUCUUCCCGGACAUGGGACAUCUGGCUUCCAGGUGGCAGUGCGCCGUCUGAGGGGAGGCAGUUUAGGUUUACAGAAACAUCACAGAGGUGGUACGGAGCUCCCGUAUGCCCCACACCGACGGCGCGUUUCGGUCUCCCGUCUCCCGUCUCCCACCUCGUGGGCCUUGGUGGCUUCUCUGCGGCGGAAGGCACGGCUGUCCGGGCUGGCCCUGCGACCAGUCCACGGCGAGGGCCUCGUUGCUGAAGAAAACCAUCUGUUUCAUCAGGCUGGCUCUGGAAUGCUGUGCGGCUGGGUCUGAAGCCCCCGGUUGCAGCCCCCCAAAGCCACGCACCCGACUCCAACAAAAGAAGCACAGAAUAGGAACCGCUCGCGGGCUGCCAAAGCCGCCUUUCCCGGGCGGAGCGGGGCAGUGGUCACUUGGCAGGAGUGAAGGUCUCGCUGCCUGGAGUCGUACUUGGAGGAGCACGGAGUUGGUUCGGUUGCUCUGGAGGCCCGUGGAAAUGAACGUGACCUGCAUGUGGAAGGCGCGGCUCCCGGCUGCGUGGGCCGUGGGCUGUGGCCGGGCUGUGGCAGCAGAAGACGCAAAGGGACUGAGUGUCCAGCUCCCAGCUCCAGCCCUCAGGGGCCCCCGGUGACAGUUCCUCGGCAUCACUCUGAUCCCGACUGAGUGGGGUGUUCACAUUGUGAAAUGAGCUGCGUGGCUGACCUGAAUGAAUCCUUACCUAGCGAAUUAAAAAAAAAUUUUUUUUGAACUAA